rnacentral:rRNA from 1 species
AGGAAGAGAAACCAACAGGGAUUGCCCUAGUAACGGCGAGUGAAGCGGCAACAGCUCAAAUUUGAAAUCCGGCGCCGUCGGCGCCCGAGUUGUAAUUUGUAGAGGGUGGCCCGGGUCCGUCCCCGUCUAAGUCCCCUGGAACGGGGCGUCGUAGAGGGUGAGAAUCCCGUAUGCGACGGGGCGCGACGUACCCGUGUGGGCCCCCUUCGACGAGUCGAGUUGUUUGGGAAUGCAGCUCUAAAUGGGAGGUAAAUUCCUUCUAAAGCUAAAUACCGGCCAGAGACCGAUAGCGCACAAGUAGAGUGAUCGAAAGAUGAAAAGCACUUUGGAAAGAGAGUUAAAAAGCACGUGAAAUUGUUGAAAGGGAAGCGCUCACGACCAGACUCGGGUGCGGGUGCUCAACCACUCCGGUGCAUCGCCUGUACCCGGGCCAGCAUCGGUUCGGGCGGUCGGACAAAGGCCCCGGGAACGUAGCUCCCCUCGGGGAGUGUUAUAGCCCGGGGCGCAAUGCGGCCCGCCCGGACCGAGGACCGCGUUCGCUAGGAUGCUGGCGUAAUGGUCGUUAGCGGCCCGUCUUGAAACACGGACCAAGGAGUCUACCAUCUGUGCGAGUCUUAGGGUGUCAAACCCCUGGGCGCAAUGAAAGUGAACGGAGGUGGGAACUUUUGUGCACCAUCGACCGAUCCAGAAGUCUUCGGACGGAUUUGAGUAAGAGCACCGCUGGUGGGACCCGAAAGAUGGUGAACUAUGCGCGGAUAGGGUGAAGCCAGAGGAAACUCUGGUGGAGGCUCGCAGCGGUUCUGACGUGCAAAUCGAUCGUCAAAUCUACGCAUAGGGGCGAAAGACUAAUCGAACCAUCUAGUAGCU